rnacentral:rRNA from 1 species
AACGUAGGGGACAAGCGUUAUCCGGAUUUACUGGGCGUAAAGCGCCCGUAGGCGGCCUGACAAGUUGGACGUGAAAGCUCCUGGCUUAACUGGGAGAGGCCGUUCAAAACUGUCAAGCUAGAGUCUGGAAGAGGAGAGCGGAAUUCCCGGUGUAGUGGCGAAAUGCGUAGAGAUCGGGAGGAACACCAGCGGCGAAGGCGGCCCCCUGGGCCGCUCCUGACGCUGAGACGCGAAGGCCAGGGUAGCGAACGGG